UCAAUAGAAUCUAUCUGAAGUAUGAAGAAAGUUCCUGAUAGGGUUUUUCUUUUGUUUUUUCUUUUGUAGGCCCACAAGGUGAAAAAGGCAAGGAUGGCACGCCUGGCAAAGAUGGUAAACCAGGUACUCGGGGUCUACCUGGGCCGAAGGGUGAAGCAGGUGUGAGGGGACCCUCAGGUGUUCCAGGAACAAGAGGAACAUCUGGACCAGCAGGCCCCCGGGGGCCACCGGGCCUCCCAGGAGAGAGGGGUCAGCCGGGGCCUCCCGGACCCCCUGGACCCCCCGGACCACCAGGGCCUCCCGCACCCAUCCCUGAAGACAGUAAGUGCUUUCACUUCACAUCCCUUUACCAACUCUACUCACAGCUCACAGCAACCACUGCUGAUUAAAC
rnacentral:lncRNA from 1 species